rnacentral:rRNA from 1 species
AGGGAUCAUUACAGAGACUCUGCCCCCUGGGUAGACCUCCCACCCUGUGUCGUUGUACCUUUGUUGCUUUGGCGGGCCGCGGGGCCCCGGCCCUGCCCCUGGCUCCGGCUAGGGCGCGCCCGCCAGAGGACCUCAAAACCUGAAUGUUAGUGUCGUCUGAGUGCUAUAUAAUAGUUAAAACUUUCAACAACGGAUCUCUUGGUUCUGGCAUCGAUGAAGAACGCAGCGAAAUGCGAUAAGUAAUGUGAAUUGCAGAAUUCAGUGAAUCAUCGAAUCUUUGAACGCACAUUGCGCCCCUUGGUAUUCCGGGGGGCAUGCCUGUUCGAGCGUCAUUACAACCCUCAAGCUCUGCUUGGUCUUGGGCGUCACCGGUCCCCGGUGUGCCUUAAAAUCAGUGGCGGCGCCAUCUGGCUCUAAGCGUAGUACAUCUCCUCGCUACAGACGGCCCGGUGGAUGCUGGCCAGCAACCCCCAAUUCAUCAAGGUUGACCUCGGAUCAGGUAGGGAUACCCGCUGAACUUAA